GUCCCUCUGAUCUCUAGAAAAGAAGAGAGCAGAAGGGGCAGGGGUAGCCAGUUUUACCUGUGAAUUUUCCUCCUAGCAUCCUCUAAGUCCCUGCAGUCUCCAUGGCAACAUGAGCUGGUCCAAAUCCUUCCUCUGAGCCUGGGCUGGAGGCUGCUCUGGAGGCAGAAACCUCUGGAAGGCUGGCUGCCUGGGACUGGGAGCUUCUCAGGUAUCUGUGCUUGGAGAGAGGAGGAGGAUGCAAUUUCCCCCCGUGCUGCGGAGGCGGCCUCUGAUGCGAAGCCUGGUGACUUCCGAGACAGCAGCGUGCCAUCGGUUUUACCAGGAGCUGCGGGGUUUUUUUUCCAUCCGAGGAAGUGGAAGACAUGUUUCCUGCAUGAAAGGAAGCUGUUUGUCAUGAGGAUGAAAGCAGAGACUGGCACGAGAACAGAGCGAAGCCGAUUCUCUCGGGGCCGGCACCGCAUAAUCAAAUGCAAGGCUUCGAGAUUGUGUCUUAUCCUGUGAAGACGCAGUUGUGGACACGAGUUUUCAGCAGGCGACGCUCUGCGGAGAACAGCUCAUUGCCGCGGUGACCUCCAAGAACAUCAUGGAGGAUGUUACUGCACUACGUGAUGAGGCAUCCUUCGUUUUUCAGGAUGAUGAGUCAAGAACUACAAGCCACGGAUGAGAAAAAACUGAAGAGUCCUUGUAUUAUAUUUUCAGGCCUGGUUGAUUUAAAAAAAAGAAAAUAGAGAACACUUGAAUUUCCUAUGACCCCAAAUUCUUCGUGGAAUUGAAUCAGUUCUGGUAUCCAGCCAUCCAGUCAGGUAUUGCACACUCUUUGUUUAGACCGUGCAUUUUUUUCCUGUGCUGCUAGUUCAUAUUUUUAUAAGGAACUUAGAUAUUGGCUUCUGGUGAGAUGUUCAAGUGUUUUCUACUUUUAUACACUACAUAAUCAGGCAGGGAUGUGGGACUGAAUAUGAGUCCAGCCAGCAAUGUGCUACUUUACUGUGGAGCUGGUCCCCCACUGGUAUGUUUGGAAUAACUUUAUGAAGAAAGACAGAAGCUUCAGCAAUCAAGACUUUUUUUUAAUUUCCCCCCCCCCCCCCACAAAGGACUUAGAAUUUGGCUCACUUUAAAGAAGUGUUAGUAUUCUGUGA